rnacentral:rRNA from 1 species
UGGGGAAUAUUGCACAAUGGAGGGAACUCUGAUGCAGCGACGCCGCGUGAACGAAGAAGGCUUUCGAGUCGUAAAGAUCUUUUAUAUGGGAAGAUAAUGACGGUACCAUAAGAAAAAGCCCCGGCUAACUACGUGCCAGCAGCCGCGGUAAUACGUAGGGGGCUAGCGUUGUCCGGAAUCACUGGGCGUAAAGGGUUCGCAGGCGGAAAUGUAAGUCACGUGUAAAAGGCAGUAGCUUAACUACUGUAAGCAUUUGAAACUGCAUACCUUGAGAAGAGUAGAGUUAAUUGGAAUUUUUAGUGUAGCGGUGAAAUGCGUAGAUAUUAAAAAGAAUACCGGUGGCGAAGGCGACUUACUGGGCUCAUUCUGACGCUGAGUAACGAAAGCGUGGGUAGCAAACAGG